GAUGAACGCUAGCUACAGGCUUAACACAUGCAAGUCGAGGGGCAUCAGGGAUCUAGCUUGCUAGAUCUGCUGGCGACCGGCGCACGGGUGAGUAACGCGUAUCCAACCUUCCCCAUAGUAGAGGAUAGCCCGGUGAAAAUCGGAUUAAUACUCUAUGUUGUAUAACUAGGACAUCUGAAUUAUACCAAAGGUUUACCGCUAUGGGAUGGGGAUGCGUCUGAUUAGGUUGUUGGCGGGGUAACGGCCCACCAAGCCAUCGAUCAGUAGGGGUUCUGAGAGGAAGGUCCCCCACAUUGGAACUGAGACACGGUCCAAACUCC
rnacentral:rRNA from 1 species